AUUGAACGCUGGAGGCAGGCCUAACACAUGCAAGUCGAGCGGAGCGGCGGACGGGUGAGUAAUGCCUAGGAAUCUGCCUGGUAGUGGGGGAUAACGUCAGGAAACGGGCGCUAAUACCGCAUACUACCAGAUGAGCCUAGGUCGGAUGAGCUAGGUGGUGGGGUAAAGGCCUACCAAGGCGACGAUCCGUAACUGGUCUGAGAGGAUGAUCAGUCAAACUGGAACUGAGACUCGGUCCAUACUCCUGCGGGAGGCAGCAGUGGGGAAUAUUGGACUAUGGGCGAAAGCCUGCUCCAGCCCUGCCGCGUGUGUGCAGAAGGUCUUCGGAUUGUAAAGCACUUUAAGUUGGGAGGCGUUACCAACAGAAUAAGCACCGGCUAACUUCGUGCCAGCAGCCGCGGUAAUAC
rnacentral:rRNA from 1 species